rnacentral:misc_RNA from 1 species
GAUGAAGAACGUAGCGAAAUGCGAUAAGUAAUGUGAAUUGCAGAAUUCAGUGAAUCAUCGAAUCUUUGAACGCACAUUGCGCCCAUUAGUAUUCUAGUGGGCAUGCCUGUUCGAGCGUCAUUUCAACCCUUAAGCCUAGCUUAGUGUUGGGAGACUGCCUAAUACGCAGCUCCUCAAAACCAGUGGCGGAGUCUGUUCGUGCUCUGAGCGUAGUAAUUUUUUAUCUCGCUUCUGCAAGCCGGCCAGACGACAGCCAUAAACCGCACCCUCUCGGGGGGCACUUUUUUAAUGGUUGACCUCGUAUCAGGUAGGAAUACCCGCUGAACUUAAGCAUAUCAAUAAGCGGAGGA